CAAUUGCACCACUACCAGAUGGACCUGCGUUGUAUUAUCUAGUUGGUGGGGUAACGGCUCACCAAGGCGACAAUACAUAGCCGACCUGAGAGGGUGAUCGGCCACACUGGGACUGAGACACGGCCCACACUCCUACGGGAGGCAGCAGUAGGGAAUCUUCGGCAAUGGACGGAAGUCUGACCGAGCAACGCCGCGUGAGUGAAGAAGGUUUUCGGAUCGUAAAGCUCUGUUGUAAGAGAAGAACGAGUGUGAGAGUGGAAAGUUCACACUGUGACGGUAUCUUACCAGAAAGGGACGGCUAACUACGUGCCAGCAGCCGCGGUAAUACGUAGGUCCCGAGCGUUGUCCGGAUUUAUUGGGCGWAAAGCGAGCGCAGGCGGUUAGAUAAGUCUGAAGUUANAAGGCUGUGGCUUAACNCAUAGUNACGCUUUGGAAACUNGUUUAACUUGAGNUGCASAAGGNGGAGAGUGGAAUUCCAUGUGUANGCGGUGAAAUGCGUAGAUAUAUGGAGGAACACCGNGUGGCGAAAGCGGCUCUYUGGUNYUGUAACUGACGCUGAGGCUCGAAAGCGUGGGGAGCAAACAGGAUUAGAUANCCCUGGUAGUCCACGCCGUAAACGAUGAGUGCUAGGUGUUGGRUCCUUUCCNGGGGYUCAGUGCCGCAGCUAACGCAUUAAGCACUCCGCCUGGGGAGUACGACCGCAAGGUUGAAACUCAAAGGAAUUGACGGGGGCCCGCACAAGCGGUGGAGCAUGUGGUUUAAUUCGNAAGCAACGCGAAGAACCUUACCAGGUCUUGACAUCCCGGUGMCCGUCCUAGAGAUAGRAUUUUGCUUCGGGCACACCGGUGACAGGUGGUGCAUGGUUGUCGUCAGCUCGUGUCGUGAGAUGUUGGGUUAAGUCCCGCAACGAGCGCAACCCUUAUUGUUAGUUGCCAUCAUUUAGUUGGGCACUCUAGCGAGACUGCCGGUAAUAAACCGGAGGAAGGUGGGGAUGACGUCAAAUCAUCAUGCCCCUUAUGACCUGGGCUACACACGUGCUACAAUGGCUGGUACAACGAGUUGCAAGUCGGUGA
rnacentral:rRNA from 1 species